rnacentral:rRNA from 1 species
AUUGAACGCUGGCGGCAGGCCUAACACAUGCAAGUCGAACGAGUGGCGGACGGGUGAGUAAUGUCUUGGAAACUGCCUGAUGGAGGGGGAUAACUACUGGAAACGGUAGCUAAUACCGCAUACCAUCGGAUGUGCCCAGAUGGGAUUAGCUAGUAGGUGGGGUAACGGCUCACCUAGGCGACGAUCCCUAGCUGGUCUGAGAGGAUGACCAGCCACACUGGAACUGAGACACGGUCGAGAUUCCUACGGGAGGCAGCAGUGGGGAAUAUUGCACAGUGGGGGAAAGCCUGAUGCAGACAUGCCGCGUGGAUGAAGAAGGCCUUCGGGUUGUAAAGUACUUACAGCGGGGAGGCGUUACCCGAAGAAGAAGCACCGGCUAACUCCGUGCCAGCGGCCGCGGUAGUUC